rnacentral:tRNA from 1 species
UAGGUUGUGGUUUAAAGAUAGAAUUAGGGCUUUGGGAGUCUUAGGUGCUCGUUAGAGCCAGCCU